CACGUCCUCUAGAGAGCUGACUAUGUGGAGGAUUUCCUGAUGGAAUUUCUGGAGCCUCGCUGAUCUGCUCCAUACAUGUUGCUGAAGGAGUUACUCUGGAGCUCAGGGGAGGGUUACUUCUUGGUGGUUUGCAGGACAGCUCUGCCUGCCUCCCAGGCUCUUGAUCCAUUCCUAUGGUGGGUGACAUAAUGGCCCUUCCGAAGAUGUCCGUGUCCUAAUUCCUGGAGCCUGUGAAUACACUGGCUGCAUGGCAAGGGUGGAGAUUAAGGUUGCAGAUGGAAUGAAGGUUCCAGCUCACCUUAAAAUAGAGAUUAUCUUGGGUUAUCCGAGUGGACCCAGUGUAAUCACAAGGUUUCUUUAAAUGUGAAGGAGAGAGGCAGGAGAAGAUCUACCCUGCUGGCUUUGAAGUUGGAAGGGUGCCACAAGCCACAAGUGAAGGAAUGUGGGCAGCCUCUAGAAGCUGAAAAAGGCAAGAAAGUGGAUUCUUUCUUAAAACACCCAGAAGGGAACACUGCUCUGCAGGCACCUUGAUUUCAGCCUUGUGAGACCCAUUUUGGACAUCUGACCCCCAGAACUGUAAGAUAAUAAAUCUGUGUUGUUUGAAGCCAUC
rnacentral:lncRNA from 10 species